GUGAACAACUGGGCCCUCCAGGUGGCCUUGGUGGCCCUUGGUGACAGUAAGAGAAACCACUUUGAAAGGUGAAGACAGGAAGUGAGGCAUGAUGCCAGGGUCACCACGUGGUUGACUGCCAUCUUGUGGGAGUGCAGGAGGACUGGAAGAAAGAGGACCCUCAGCUUGGGGUGUGAGGAUGGACGGACGUGGCCAGGGGCCACCUGUCUCUGCAUCUUGGGCCAUUCAGAGCUCCGGGCCAGGUCAUUGUGAAGAGCUCCACUUCUCUGUAGGCCAUUAUGGUGAAAAGGAGUUUAGCAGACAAGGGCUCAGGACACGCCCUUUCUGUGCCCAGGCAGAGUGUGAUGUCAUCAGCAAAACCAGCAUUAGGGUUCUCCCUUCCGUUGAAUGCACUGCG
ensembl:lincRNA 4933427I22Rik RIKEN cDNA 4933427I22 gene